CCAGCCAUACCCACAAUUGAAACAAAAUCCAACAGCUUUGAACCCCUGGUAAGACUAUGAAUAAUUGUCUUUACCUCAUCAUCAAGACCCACCAGAACUUCAUUCAACACUGGGGUGCUACGUUUUGCCUCAAUGCGGAAAGAUUUCUGGUUAGUUCUCUGAGCUUCAUAGUCAUGCCUCGUGCUAUCAUAGGUUUCAAGGGCCUCAG
rnacentral:lncRNA from 1 species